GAUCAUCAAAACUCUCAAAUAAUGUGUUCUCUUGUAAACUAGUAUAGGAUCUCGCACGUGGUCACUGUCAUCAUUAUCAAAUAACAGAUCAUUACUUAACACAUUCAUCAUAAAAUGGUUUAGUACACGGAAUAUACUAAUUAUUAUCGGUUGAUAAUGACAAAUGGGCUUGUUUGCAACAAAAUACUGCAACUGCAAAAUUAUGCAAACAUAGUUCUGUUUGAGGUUAGUCUUCAAAUCUGACUUUAGGUUCCACUUAAGCGGCACUUCAUCUUCCCCUUAAAUUAUUUGCCUGUUACGGUUUGCCUUAACGCUAGGUGACAGUGGUGCUAACGAAUUCUGUGACUUAACUGCACAGAUUACAGAGUAUAGAUGGGACAGUUUUGCUUUCCCGCCCAAAUGAUUUUGCUAAAUGCAACCACAUAGAGGCGUCGUCCAAAAAUUCAGAGGAUCAGCGGAUUGUUUGCAUGCGUUUGUUUUGUACAUAUGUCCAUAAGAGGACUCUGAACAUACAGUAUUUUACAGUUAAGAUUAUUCCGUAAAUUUUCAAUCUUUCAGUCUAUCAAUGUUUUUAAUUUGCAAUCAUAAGCAUUUUCAACUAGUUUGAUAACUGUGAUAUUUAUCUUUGUUUUACAAUAAUGGAGCAUAACGUGGCUCGGAGAAUGACUAAGUGUUGUGUUCGGAAUUCUGUGAUCUCUAGAUAACUGUGAAGUAUAUUUGAGUUUUACAACAACUGAAUAUAAGGUAGCCAGAUACCAGCCGCUUCCAGUGUUGUGUUGUGUUCGUGAAAAUCAAAAUGGUCGACGAUUUCGAUUUCCUGAAAAUCACUAAAAGCUUGACCCGAAAUAAUUUUGCAUCAUUUUACUCCAAGUUAUGGCCUGUACAGAAAAUAUACAAUAAAAAAACAGAAGUAGCCGCAGUCCAAGGCUGGACGCUAAGACGGAAAGAGUUUUAGUGAGUAAACAGCUUGGCUGGAGCCCCACAGAACCCAGCGCAAAAACAACCAUCAGGUACCAACUGAACGUAAAUAGCAGCACUACACGAUCUAACUCAUGUAAUCUCAAUAUAAAUUACAUCAUAAAUUACAAACAUAAUGAAACAUUCAUCAUGACAACACCGCAAAGGGGGAGUACGUGAUUGUGACAUGAUAGUAAGAGGGAAAUAGGAUUUGUUGGACAAGUAAAUACGGCAAUUUCUCAUGUUUUUGGUGAUAAUAAGUGAUAAUCGUGAUAUUAAUAAACUGUUACGCUUAAAAGAAAUUGGGCGAAGUUUCAUUUGCAGGAAAAGCGGCCUGAAUUUUCCUAAUCUGUACUGUUUUGCACGAUUGUAAACAGGGACCAGUGGCCAUACGGGUUAAGAUGUCAAUUGGAAACUUUGUUAAUGAUAAUGUCGCCACUGCUGUGUUACACAACAUAGCCCAGGAAAUGAACGAAGCUGAUCCACCUUCACCGGAAAAUUUAAGUAUGGAUGAAUUCCAUUAUCUUAUAGAAAGCGGAAAUGUUCCCAGGAUAGCUUCCGAUGGAAAUGAGAAUAGAAAUAAUAACUACCGUCAAGUGUUAAUUGACAAUUACUUUUAAAAUUUAAAUUAAGAAAAUGUGUUUAAUUAUGAUAAAAAUGUUUGUUAUAAAUGGUUAAAUAAAAACCCUUAUAUUUAA